GUGUAUCUGACUGUGUGUGUAUCUGGCUGUAUGUGUGUAUAUCUGGCUGUAUGUGUGUAUGUGUAUCUGGCUGUAUGUGUGUGUGUGUAUCUGACUGUGUGUGUAUCUGGCUGUAUGUGUGUAUAUCUGGCUGUAUGUGUGUAUAUCUGACUGUGUGUGUGUAUCUGACUGUGUGUGUGUAUCUGACUGUGUGUGUGUGUGUGUAUCUGACUGUGUGUGUGUAUCUGACUGUGUGUGUAUCUGGCUGUAUGUGUGUAUAUCUGGCUGUAUGUGUG